UUCAACUGUGCCGCCAUUUUGGGCGUUGAACUGUGGUCCAGCAUGCUUUGCUUUGCACAAACCAAAACAGCUGCUACUGAUGCAGCUGGGCGAGAAGAGAAGACAGUUUGAUGAAGCCGUGCUGGCGAUACUCAGGAUCACAGAGAAGCUGAGUGGACGAAGACGUGAACUCGAACAGUUACAGAAAGAUGAUGCGAAGGUGGAAAAGAGGCCACAAGAGGUCCUGGCUGCGUAAGACGGGCAGAAAACUACCGAGUAAGGCGUGCUGUUACAGCUUGCCUCCACUGGAGGGCAGUCUGCUCUGUAAAAAUUGAAUGUGUGGGUGGAACUGAUUGAAGAACAACUGAAUGAUCAGAGAAGAGAGAAGGAGAGAGCCAAGUGUCAAAUGGACAGAGAUAAUAUCUGGAGAGGAAGAAGAGCAGAAUGAAAGAAAAGGAAAGGCAUGUGCAUUGUUGUGUGAUAGAGGAGGUGACAGA